rnacentral:sRNA from 1 species
UACCCCAUGAUGCUCAGGUCCGCCGCAUCUCCUGGAUCGUGGGGUUGGCCGACCGGCAAGCAAACCGCGCGGUUCCUCGUACCGCCUGCAAGCUGGUCGGCCCCC